rnacentral:rRNA from 1 species
UACGUAGGGCGCGAGCGUUGUCCGGAAUUAUUGGGCGUAAAGAGCUCGUAGGCGGCUUGUUGCGUCGUCCGUGAAAACCCGCAGCUCAACUGCGGGCUUGCGGACGAUACGGGCAGGCUGGAGUUCGGUAGGGGAGACUGGAAUUCCUGGUGUAGCGGUGAAAUGCGCAGAUAUCAGGAGGAACACCGGUGGCGAAGGCGGGUCUCUGGGCCGAUACUGACGCUGAGGAGCGAAAGCGUGGGGAGCGAACAGG